rnacentral:rRNA from 1 species
GGGUUGUGAGGUUAAGCGACUAAGCGUACACGGUGGAUGCCCUGGCAGUCAGAGGCGAUGAAGGACGUGCUAAUCUGCGAUAAGCGUCGGUAAGGUGAUAUGAACCGUUAUAACCGGCGAUUUCCGAAUGGGGAAACCCAGUGUGUUUCGACACACUAUCAUUAACUGAAUCCAUAGGUUAAUGAGGCGAACCGGGGGAACUGAAACAUCUAAGUACCCCGAGGAAAAGAAAUCAACCGAGAUUCCCCCAGUAGCGGCGAGCGAACGGGGAGCAGCCCAGAGCCUGAAUCAGUGUGUGUGUUAGUGGAAGCGUCUGGAAAGGCGCGCGAUACAGGGUGACAGCCCCGUACACAAAAAUGCACAUGCUGUGAGCUCGAUGAGUAGGGCGGGACACGUGGUAUCCUGUCUGAAUAUGGGGGGACCAUCCUCCAAGGCUAAAUACUCCUGACUGACCGAUAGUGAACCAGUACCGUGAGGGAAAGGCGAAAAGAACCCCGGCGAGGGGAGUGAAAAAGAACCUGAAACCGUGUACGUACAAGCAGUGGGAGCCUCUUUUAUGGGGUGACUGCGUACCUUUUGUAUAAUGGGUCAGCGACUUAUAUUCUGUAGCAAGGUUAACCGAAUAGGGGAGCCGAAGGGAAACCGAGUCUUAACUGGGCGUUAAGUUGCAGGGUAUAGACCCGAAACCCGGUGAUCUAGCCAUGGGCAGGUUGAAGGUUGGGUAACACUAACUGGAGGACCGAACCGACUAAUGUUGAAAAAUUAGCGGAUGACUUGUGGCUGGGGGUGAAAGGCCAAUCAAACCGGGAGAUAGCUGGUUCUCCCCGAAAGCUAUUUAGGUAGCGCCUCGUGAAUUCAUCUCCGGGGGUAGAGCACUGUUUCGGCAAGGGGGUCAUCCCGACUUACCAACCCGAUGCAAACUGCGAAUACCGGAGAAUGUUAUCACGGGAGACACACGGCGGGUGCUAACGUCCGUCGUGAAGAGGGAAACAACCCAGACCGCCAGCUAAGGUCCCAAAGUCAUGGUUAAGUGGGAAACGAUGUGGGAAGGCCCAGACAGCCAGGAUGUUGGCUUAGAAGCAGCCAUCAUUUAAAGAAAGCGUAAUAGCUCACUGGUCGAGUCGGCCUGCGCGGAAGAUGUAACGGGGCUAAACCAUGCACCGAAGCUGCGGCAGCGACGCUUAUGCGUUGUUGGGUAGGGGAGCGUUCUGUAAGCCUGUGAAGGUGUGCUGUGAGGCAUGCUGGAGGUAUCAGAAGUGCGAAUGCUGACAUAAGUAACGAUAAAGCGGGUGAAAAGCCCGCUCGCCGGAAGACCAAGGGUUCCUGUCCAACGUUAAUCGGGGCAGGGUGAGUCGACCCCUAAGGCGAGGCCGAAAGGCGUAGUCGAUGGGAAACAGGUUAAUAUUCCUGUACUUGGUGUUACUGCGAAGGGGGGACGGAGAAGGCUAUGUUGGCCGGGCGACGGUUGUCCCGGUUUAAGCGUGUAGGCUGGUUUUCCAGGCAAAUCCGGAAAAUCAAGGCUGAGGCGUGAUGACGAGGCACUACGGUGCUGAAGCAACAAAUGCCCUGCUUCCAGGAAAAGCCUCUAAGCAUCAGGUAACAUCAAAUCGUACCCCAAACCGACACAGGUGGUCAGGUAGAGAAUACCAAGGCGCUUGAGAGAACUCGGGUGAAGGAACUAGGCAAAAUGGUGCCGUAACUUCGGGAGAAGGCACGCUGAUAUGUAGGUGAAGUCCCUUGCGGAUGGAGCUGAAAUCAGUCGAAGAUACCAGCUGGCUGCAACUGUUUAUUAAAAACACAGCACUGUGCAAACACGAAAGUGGACGUAUACGGUGUGACGCCUGCCCGGUGCCGGAAGGUUAAUUGAUGGGGUCAGCGCAAGCGAAGCUCUUGAUCGAAGCCCCGGUAAACGGCGGCCGUAACUAUAACGGUCCUAAGGUAGCGAAAUUCCUUGUCGGGUAAGUUCCGACCUGCACGAAUGGCGUAAUGAUGGCCAGGCUGUCUCCACCCGAGACUCAGUGAAAUUGAACUCGCUGUGAAGAUGCAGUGUACCCGCGGCAAGACGGAAAGACCCCGUGAACCUUUACUAUAGCUUGACACUGAACAUUGAGCCUUGAUGUGUAGGAUAGGUGGGAGGCUUUGAAGUGUGGACGCCAGUCUGCAUGGAGCCGACCUUGAAAUACCACCCUUUAAUGUUUGAUGUUCUAACGUUGGCCCCUAAUCGGGGUUGCGGACAGUGUCUGGUGGGUAGUUUGACUGGGGCGGUCUCCUCCUAAAGAGUAACGGAGGAGCACGAAGGUUGGCUAAUCCUGGUCGGACAUCAGGAGGUUAGUGCAAUGGCAUAAGCCAGCUUGACUGCGAGCGUGACGGCGCGAGCAGGUGCGAAAGCAGGUCAUAGUGAUCCGGUGGUUCUGAAUGGAAGGGCCAUCGCUCAACGGAUAAAAGGUACUCCGGGGAUAACAGGCUGAUACCGCCCAAGAGUUCAUAUCGACGGCGGUGUUUGGCACCUCGAUGUCGGCUCAUCACAUCCUGGGGCUGAAGUAGGUCCCAAGGGUAUGGCUGUUCGCCAUUUAAAGUGGUACGCGAGCUGGGUUUAGAACGUCGUGAGACAGUUCGGUCCCUAUCUGCCGUGGGCGCUGGAGAACUGAGGGGGGCUGCUCCUAGUACGAGAGGACCGGAGUGGACGCAUCACUGGUGUUCGGGUUGUCAUGCCAAUGGCACUGCCCGGUAGCUAAAUGCGGAAGAGAUAAGUGCUGAAAGCAUCUAAGCACGAAACUUGCCCCGAGAUGAGUUCUCCCUGACUCCUUGAGAGUCCUGAAGGAACGUUGAAGACGACGACGUUGAUAGGCCGGGUGUGUAAGCGCAGCGAUGCGUUGAGCUAACCGGUACUAAUGAACCGUGAGGCUUAACCUUACAACGCCGAAG